UACAGAGGUCUCAAGCGUUGUUCGGAUUCAUUGGGCGUAAAGGGUGCGUAGGCGGCGCGGUAAGUCGGAUGUGAAAUCCCCAGGCUUAACCUGGGAACUGCAUCCGAUACUGGAUGGCUUGAAUUCGGGAGAGGGAUGCAGAAUUCCAGGUGUAGCGGUGAAAUGCGUAGAUAUCUGGAGGAAUACCGGUGGCGAAGGCGGCAUCCUGGACCGAGAUUGACGCUGAUGAGCGAAAGCUAGGGGAGCAAACGGG
rnacentral:rRNA from 1 species